rnacentral:rRNA from 1 species
UACAUGUGGGGCAAGCGUUGUUCGGAAUUACUGGGCGUAAAGGGCGCGUAGGCGGUGCGCUAAGUCAGAUGUGAAAGCCCUGGGCUUAACCCGGGAACUGCAUUUGAUACUGGCGCGCUCGAAUCCGGGAGAGGUUGGUGGAAUUCCCAGUGUAGAGGUGAAAUUCGUAGAGAUUGGGAAGAACACCGGUGGCGAAGGCGGCCAACUGGACCGGUAUUGACGCUGAGGCGCGAAAGCGUGGGGAGCAAACAGG